AAAACCGAUCAAUUCUAGUUAAGAAUUGGAAAUGACCUUAUAUUCCACGAUAUUUGGUUUAAAUUUAUUAGGUUGAUGAGCUUCCCAACACGGCUCAAUGUGUGCUAGCGAGACAGUUGUCCCGAUCUCACAUUCCAGCUGUGUUGCAGAGUUCUGUCCACAACCUCUAACCUAACUUAUCAU
rnacentral:misc_RNA from 1 species